CCAUUUUUUUUCAGUCUCAAUCCAAUUUUUUCUGUUUCAAUUUGCUGGCACUGUUUUGGCGUGCAGGGGCGUGCUUGAGGGGCGGGGAUUCUGACCUACAUGUAUUUGUAUACAUUAUAGUGCUGACCAAUGACUGUAGAAAAUAACGAUGACUUAGAGGCUGCAGUCACGGACAAACUUGUAUGUGUCUGUUCGGGAAUGGCAGAUACUGAGAGGUUCAAUGUUUACGUUACCGACUGUUUCAAACUGACAGCCUGAUGUGUUCUUCAGUAAACUGGACUACCCGACAGAAGGACCCGAUUUUCGGACCAAUUUGCCAUGGCAGAAGCCCCUGGACAACAUAGCCCCUGGGAUCACUGGGAAACACAAACCACUCCACCACGAUAAGACAGCAGCUCAAACACUGCUGAUAAUGCCCCCGUAUGUUGGUGACCAGAAUGCAGCAGCAGACUGGACCAGGACUGAAACCUGGUCCAUCAUCUCAUCUUUGCAGAUCUCCAUUUACAAAGCACAAACAACUCAAGGAAGCUGCCCUCAGAUUGAGACCUCAGCAUCACCCAGUGGCAACAGACAAAUCAUCUUAUAUCUUCACUCUUUGUAGCAACUCCAAAACUGAUCAAAAGAGUACAACGGUGCAGCUGCAGCUGUUUGUAGAUAAAGUUAAAGACAAAAAGUCAAAAGGGUUAAUCACCCAUGUAACUGUGUCACCAUAUAUCAAGAUUAACAGUACCUCAGUUUGGUGUUUCAGAAAGGUGCUGAUCCUUGCACCUUGCACAACUUCUGUUUUAAACACUGAAUGUAGUCAGAUGUUUUCUCAGACACAAUUAAAUAAAACCUGA